rnacentral:rRNA from 1 species
UAAUGUGAAUUGCAGAAUUCAGUGAAUCAUCGAAUCUUUGAACGCACCUUGCGCUCCUUGGUAUUCCGAGGAGCAUGCCUGUUUGAGUGUCAUGAAAUUCUCAACCUACAAGCCUUUUCGGAGGUNNUUGUACGGCUUGGACUUGGAGGAUCAUUGUCGGCAGCGAUG